rnacentral:rRNA from 1 species
UACGAAGGGGGCUAGCGUUGUUCGGAAUUACUGGGCGUAAAGCGCACGUAGGCGGAUACUUAAGUCAGGGGUGAAAUCCCGGGGGCUCAACCCCGGAACUGCCUUUGAUACUGGGUAUCUCGAGUCCGGAAGAGGUGAGUGGAAUUCCGAGUGUAGAGGUGAAAUUCGUAGAUAUUCGGAGGAACACCAGUGGCGAAGGCGGCUCACUGGUCCGGUACUGACGCUGAGGUGCGAAAGCGUGGGGAGCAAACAGG